GACGAACGCUGGCGGCGUGCUUAACACAUGCAAGUCGAACGGAAAGGCUCCAGCUUGCUGGCGUACUCGAGUGGCGAACGGGUGAGUAACACGUGGGUAAUCUGCCCUGCACUCUGGGAUAAGCCUGGGAAACUGGGUCUAAUACUGGAUAUGACCUUUCUCCUUAUGGGGUUUGGUGGAAAGUUUUUCGGUGUAGGAUGAGCCCGCGGCCUAUCAGCUUGUUGGUGGGGUGAUGGCCUACCAAGGCGACGACGGGUAGCCGGCCUGAGAGGGUGAUCGGCCACAUUGGGACUGAGAUACGGCCCAGACUCCUACGGGAGGCAGCAGUGGGGAAUAUUGCACAAUGGGCGGAAGCCUGAUGCAGCGACGCCGCGUGAGGGAUGACGGCCUUCGGGUUGUAAACCUCUUUCAGCAGGGACGAAGCGUAAGUGACGGUACCUGCAGAAGAAGCACCGGCUAGCUAUGUG
rnacentral:rRNA from 1 species